AGCCCCGUACACAAAAAUGCACAUGCUGUGAGCUCGAUGAGUAGGGCGGGACACGUGGUAUCCUGUCUGAAUAUGGGGGGACCAUCCUCCAAGGCUAAAUACUCCUGACUGACCGAUAGUGAACCAGUACCGUGAGGGAAAGGCGAAAAGAACCCCGGCGAGGGGAGUGAAAAAGAACCUGAAACCGUGUACGUACAAGCAGUGGGAGCACAGAGCAAUCUGUGUGACUGCGUACCUUUUGUAUAAUGGGUCAGCGACUUAUAUUCUGUAGCAAGGUUAACCGAAUAGGGGAGCCGAAGGGAAACCGAGUCUUAACCGGGCGUUAAGUUGCAGGGUAUAGACCCGAAACCCGGUGAUCUAGCCAUGGGCAGGUUGAAGGUUGGGUAACACUAACUGGAGGACCGAACCGACUAAUGUUGAAAAAUUAGCGGAUGACUUGUGGCUGGGGGUGAAAGGCCAAUCAAACCGGGAGAUAGCUGGUUCUCCCCGAAAGCUAUUUAGGUAGCGCCUCGUGAAUUCAUCUCCGGGGGUAGAGCACUGUUUCGGCAAGGGGGUCAUCCCGACUUACCAACCCGAUGCAAACUGCGAAUACCGGAGAAUGUUAUCACGGGAGACACACGGCGGGUGCUAACGUCCGUCGUGAAGAGGGAAACAACCCAGACCGCCAGCUAAGGUCCCAAAGUCAUGGUUAAGUGGGAAACGAUGUGGGAAGGCCCAGACAGCCAGGAUGUUGGCUUAGAAGCAGCCAUCAUUUAAAGAAAGCGUAAUAGCUCACUGGUCGAGUCGGCCUGCGCGGAAGAUGUAACGGGGCUAAACCAUGCACCGAAGCUGCGGCAGCGACACUGUGUGUUGUUGGGUAGGGGAGCGU
rnacentral:rRNA from 1 species